AAUGCUUAGGAAUCUGCCUAUUAGUGGGGGACAACAUUCCGAAAGGAAUGCUAAUACCGCAUACGCCCUACGGGGGAAAGCAGGGGAUCUUCGGACCUUGCGCUAAUAGAUGAGCCUAAGUCAGAUUAGCUAGUUGGUGGGGUAAAGGCCUACCAAGGCGACGAUCUGUAGCGGGUCUGAGAGGAUGAUCCGCCACACUGGGACUGAGACACGGCCCAGACUCCUACGGGAGGCAGCAGUGGGGAAUAUUGGACAAUGGGCGCAAGCCUGAUCCAGCCAUGCCGCGUGUGUGAAGAAGGCCUUUUGGUUGUAAAGCACUUUAAGCGAGGAGGAGGCUACUUGGAUUAAUACUCUAGGAUAGUGGACGUUACUCGCAGAAUAAGCACCGGCUAACUCUGUGCCAGCAGCCGCGGUAAUACAGAGGGUGCGAGCGUUAAUCGGAUUUACUGGGCGUAAAGCGUGCGUAGGCGGCUUUUUAAGUCGGAUGUGAAAUCCCUGAGCUUAGCUUAGGAAUUGCAUUCGAUACUGGGAAGCUAGAGUAUGGGAGAGGAUGGUAGAAUUCCAGGUGUAGCGGUGAAAUGCGUAGAGAUCUGGAGG
rnacentral:rRNA from 1 species